GUGGCUAUGGUGUAGCGGUAACACAGCAGGUUGUGGUCCUGUUAUCGAGGGUUCAACUCCCUCUAGCCACCCCA
rnacentral:tRNA from 5 species